rnacentral:rRNA from 1 species
GAUGAACGCUGGCGGCGUGCUUAACACAUGCAAGUCGAACGAAGCACUUUAACCUGAUUCUUCGGAUGAAGGUUUUUGUGACUGAGUGGCGGACGGGUGAGUAACGCGUGGGUAACCUGCCUCAUACAGGGGGAUAACAGUUAGAAAUGACUGCUAAUACCGCAUAAGACCACAGAGCCGCAUGGCUCGGUGGGAAAAACUCCGGUGGUAUGAGAUGGACCCGCGUCUGAUUAGGUAGUUGGUGGGGUAACGGCCUACCAAGCCAACGAUCAGUAGCCGACCUGGGAGGGUGGCCGGCCACAUUGGGACUGAGACACGGCCCAAACUCCUACGGGAGGCAGCAGUGGGGAAUAUUGCACAAUGGGGGAAACCCUGAUGCAGCGACGCCGCGUGAGCGAAGAAGUAUUUCGGUAUGUAAAGCUCUAUCAGCAGGGAAGAAAAUGACGGUACCUGACUAAGAAGCACCGGCUAAAUACGUG